rnacentral:lncRNA from 1 species
UUGUUGGCACCAUAAAUUGGUUUUGCUUCACACUGUCUUGAUCAAGAGUGUGUGAAGCUUUUGAGAAUUUUGGUUAAACUCAUUUGAUAAAGUUUUUGUUGGCACCAUAAAUUGGUUUUGCUUCACACUGUCUUGAUCAAGAGUGUGUGAAGCUUUUGAGAAUUGUGGUUGCCCUCCAUUGAUGAAGCUCUUGUUUGCACCAUAAAUU